rnacentral:tRNA from 1 species
GUUGGUGUAGCUCAGUGGUAGAGUGCAUGCUUGGUAUGUAUGAUGCCCUGGGUUCAAUCUCCAGCUUCUACC